UACGUAGGGGGCGAGCGUUGUCCGGAUUUAUUGGGCGUAAAGAGCUCGUAGGCGGCUUGGCAAGUCGGGUGUGAAACCUCCAGGCUUAACCUGGAGACGCCACUCGACACUGCCAUGGCUAGAGUCCGGUAGGGGACCACGGAAUUCCUGGUGUAGCGGUGAAAUGCGCAGAUAUCAGGAGGAACACCGGUGGCGAAGGCGGUGGUCUGGGCCGGCACAGACGCUGAGGAGCGAAAGCGUGGGUAGCAAACAG
rnacentral:rRNA from 1 species